GGCAGGCUAGCCUGGCCAUUCUACAGUCUGCCCAGAGCUGCAGCGUAAAGAGGCAUUAGACGGUACAUAUUGUUGAUUUCCAGGAAGUUACACUGCCCUACUUUAAGGUGAUGCUCAUUAGUCUGCAAACCUGGAUGCUGAAGAAAUCCAUGUCAUAGAAGGACAGAAGUCUUGUAUCCUGUGCCAACUCUCAUUGUUUGGUGGUGAUUGCCUGGAGUGCUGGGGCUAGUCUGGGUUCUGCAGGAAAAAAGGGUCUUGCUGUGUCCCUAGGCUGGAGUGCAGUGGUGCAGUCUCAAUUAUGCCAGAUGGCUCUGAGGUCCAAGUAAAAGAUAAUAUUUGCAACCAACUCACUGGAGUUGACCAUCAAAACUCUUUUCCAGGUGGAAAAGCACCCUGAAUCCAGCUUCCUGCUAUGAAUGAAUACUGAGCUUGGGUUGGUGGAAAUUGAUUUUCGAGAUAAGUGGUGUCACCUUUCUUCAAAGCAAUGCGGCUGAAACUCUCGACCAAGUUCUCCGCAGCUUCUUCAUCUUGCGGAUCUUCUCGCCCGGCUGCAGCUCAAAGAGGUGGCACCUCUGGGCAACGCAGGGCCCCGGCAACGUCCCCAAACUAGUGGAGAGCAGGCGCGCGCCAAGGCCUGCUCCUCCUCCACACGCCUUCGGCGGCUCAGGAGGUGGGGCGGCGGCGUCUUCCUUGGUGCCAGGCCUACGUAAGUUUUCCUUAAAGCCUAACUGACAAUUCCGCACAGGAAGCCUGUAUUGCUGAAAUUAGAACAAAAGGCCUAUGUACCUUAAUGCAUUCAUAUUUCAUAUUUUAAAUAAAACCAUGGUUUCCCACA
ensembl:lncRNA LINC00640 long intergenic non-protein coding RNA 640